UACGGAGGGUGCGAGCGUUGUCCGGAGUCAUUGGGCGUAAAGGGCGCGUAGGUGGCCCCUCAAGCGUGCGGUGAAAGUCAGGGGCUCAACCCCUGAUCGGCCGUGCGAACUGGGGAGCUUGAGCACUGUAGAGGCAGGCGGAAUUCCGGGUGUAGCGGUGGAAUGCGUAGAGAUCCGGAAGAACACCGGUGGCGAAGGCGGCCUGCUGGGCAGUUUUGCUGACACUGAGGCGCGACAGCGUGGGGAGCAAACAGG
rnacentral:rRNA from 1 species